GGAAAGAGGGGGAUUGGAGGAGAAAGCGAGUCUCGUGACGCAUUCCGUGCAGAGUCCUGGCUUGGGUAGACACCAAGGAAGGUCAAGCCGGACAUAAAGACCACGUUUCUCACCCUCCUCGCCCUACCAGGGAAGCGAACCCACUUUAGUGGAGGGUCUGCCGUCAGAGAUCCACACACAGUCAUUUCUUCUGCCCAUUUCUCAGAUCAGAAAAGGGAGGCCCUGCGAGGUUCGGUGAUUCCCUCUCCAACGCCAUGGCCUGUGAGCGAGUGCGAAACCCAGUCUCUAAGAGAGGCAAGAUGUGUGGAAGUGACUCGGAGACCCGGCAGAACCGCAGGCGGACUCAGAGAGGGCAGCUACGUGCUGGAUGCUCCUCCCUCGCGACGAGGGGCGGCCUUGCCUCUCUCAGCGCUGCCUGGGGAUUUCAGGAGCCGCCUGGACUGGGAGUGUUGAGCUGUGCCAGUGACAGGGCUCCGAUGGCCCGUGAAGCACGAAAGGGCCACAUUGCGAACCCUACUACGUUGCCGGGCGGUCUGUGCGUGAGAGUUAAAUACAAGCCAGUGCAACCGCCGCCCUCUCGAAGAAAAGAGAAUCCAUUCUCCUCAGAGAGCGGGCAGCUUAAGGAAUCCACAGCCUCCUUCUGUGAUGCUACCUGGUCCCCCCAAGCCGGUGUUUCGCAAGUGUUGGAACCUGUGAGGAGAGAAGGAUCACACGGCUCCUUUAGCGGGAACAGGCCUGGCAACCACAGAGGCCCCGGUGGGAGGGCACCAGGCCUCCUGGGAGGGAGUGUAGCUGGAUGCAGUCCCCCCCCUGGAUGCCCCACCUUCACUUUGGACCCAAGACCUCAAUAAAGUUGGGAUAGAUGAAUAGUCCCUACCCACCCUCACACAGAAGUCACUAAGUUUAAUCUUACUGCUUGGAGAGUUUGGCAAAUCUACUCAUUUCCCAAACUCCCGGCUUCUUAACAUCUCAUGGACUGUGGUGGUCUAGAAAGUGCCUGUAGGGCCAACCAUGUGGCCAUAAAGCCUGACUCUGCCCAUCCCAUCCCCUCUCUCCCACCGUGGGACCCAAACACAGAGUCUGCCCGUCCCCCAUGCAUGUCAUCCUCACCCCUGGAUGGGCCCGCUAACUCUCCCUGUCUCCUGGAGCUAUUAUGAUUUUUUAAAUUACAUACAUAUGUAAAUUUCAGAAUUGUGCCUGCCGCUAAGCAGAGCUAUGUCAGUUUUAGGAUUUAUUUGUGUUCCUGUUAAAAUCACUUAGGAGUAGUGGCCCUGGAUUUGGACAAUGAAAUCUGAAGUCAGGGACAAGUUGGAACAGAACUCAACUGGGGAUACCUGGACUCUCAUUCUGGAAAACUCUGUGUUUUAUAUUGAUCCUGGGGUUGGAGGUUGGAGGGAGCACAUGGAUCACCAUGCAGAAAUGUCAUCCUGUAAAGACCCCAGUGCACUUGGACAUUUUUUCCACUGGUAUCUGGUUUCCUAUGACCUCCAGGAUCCUGCGUGGGUGUCCCCGUCAUGGACAUGCAGGCUGGGGAUGUAUGCCACACGUCAAACAUUUUUCUGAACCCCAGCCACAGUGUUUCUGGCUCCUGCACACAUUGCAGGAAGACUUCUGUGGAGCUGGAAUUUGACACAGACACAUUCAGGGCAGUCAGUUGCUGAGGAAGGUUUAUCUCUUAGGCUCAGAGGUACCCCUAGUCUCUCAGGCUCUAAAAGGAUUUAGAAGCAGGGCAUUGACAAUUUCCCACCAUUUGUAAAAAGGCUCUUUCUCCCCUUCUCCAACAGUUGCUCCUGCCAAUACAGAUGGGGAGCCUUCCUGCCUGGGCCAGGGCCCCACUUUCCUUCUGUCACCUGGAUUCUUAGCCUAUACAUCUGAACACAGCUGCUUUUCUUGGCCAUUCUAGUCAAACAAAGUGAUAGGAAAACUGGAUUUUUUCUUUAGGACUCAUUCCCUCAACACCCCUUUAUAGCAAUAUCCUUUGGAGACCCUAACGCCCAACUUGGGGACUCAGGACCAACUGCUCGCAACCAGGGUGUCACAUGGGGCAGUGUGCACCUCAGCCUGCUUCUGCCCUGGAGUCGUUUCUUCAACAACAACUGCCUGAUUCAUUGGGAAGAGCCCAGCAGCUUCGUGCUGGUGGCUUGGAAAGUAGCCACUAAAUGUUCACCCUUAGACUCAAUGACAGAAAGUAUAACAUCUCCCAGGACCUUGAAUUCCAAAAAGGAACUUAAAGAAGAAAAGAGUGGCUGAUGGCAUGGAGCCCUGUGUAAUUAAACCCUUGUAUCUAUCUCUAUGACAAGCAAAGCGAACGUUUUGACUGCAUGAGCUGGGCUUCGUCAGUGGUCAUAUGCACACAGGAACAGGGAAGCAGAUGCUCCAAGAUGUACAAAAAGAAGCUCUACCCUUUAGUGAGUUGUUACCCUUAUCAUUAGAGCCCUGGCAUGGAAGAUCACCAAUCUCUUCAUUCAUCUCACUCCUGGGGGACUGGACUGCUGCCUGCUAUGGAUCGGACACUGUGCUGGGCCAGGAUGCUGCCUCCUCGGCCCACAGACUAAGAGCCCAGGAGUUAUUUUGGAUUCAGCUUUUCUACUCCUGGGAAGAAGGAAAAAGAAGCACUGUCAAUUAAAGUUCAAGACACAACUUCUUUUUCUGA